rnacentral:rRNA from 1 species
UACGUAGGGUGCAAGCGUUAAUCGGAAUUACUGGGCGUAAAGGGUGCGUAGGCGGUUUGGCAAGUCUUGUGUGAAAUCUUUGGGCUCAACCCAAAGCCUGCACAAGAAACUGCCGGGCUUGAGUAUGGGAGAGGUGAGUGGAAUUUCCGGUGUAGCGGUGAAAUGCGUAGAUAUCGGAAGGAACACCUGUGGCGAAAGCGGCUCACUGGACCAUUACUGACGCUGAGGCACGAAAGCUAGGGGAGCAAACAGG